ACGCACGCUGGCGGCGUGCUUCACACAUGCAAGUCGAACGGAAAGGCCCUGCUUUUGUGGGGUGCUCGGGUGGCGAACGGGUGAGUAACACGUGAGUAACCUGCCCUUGACUUUGGGAUAACUUCAGGAAACUGGAGCUAAUACCGGAUAGGAGCUCCUGCUGCAUGGUGGGGGUUGGAAAGUUUCGGCGGUUGGGGAUGGACUCGCGGCUUAUCAGCUUGUUGGUGGGGUAGUGGCUUACCAAGGCUUUGACGGGUAGCCGGCCUGAGAGGGUGACCGGCCACAUUGGGACUGAGAUACGGCCCAGACUCCUACGGGAGGCAGCAGUGGGGAAUAUUGCACAAUGGGCGGAAGCCUGAUGCAGCAACGCCGCGUGCGGGAUGACGGCCUUCGGGUUGUAAACCGCUUUCGCCUGUGACGAAGCGUGAGUGACGGUAAUGGGUAAAGAAGCACCGGCUAACUACGUG
rnacentral:rRNA from 1 species